rnacentral:tRNA from 1 species
GCGAGAGUGGCGGAAUGGCAGACGCGCUAGAUUCAGGUUCUAGUAAGGGCAACCUUGUGGGGGUUCAAGUCCCCCCUCUCGCA